CGCAACGAAGUCACAUCGCUCUACAACUUAACAUUGUCGACCGAAGCAGACGCACCGGCUUCUACCAGCUUAUCGAAGUCGAUCUCCGUCGAUCGGAACUUGAAUCUGUAGCCGCUUUGGAUCCACGAGUUGAUGCACAGCGCGGCCUGCAUGCUGCUGAAAGGCAGACAGUACUUCUGCUUAUUGAUGCUAUCGCCUUUCCCCGUGAAUAACUCGUCGGGCUCAACCGAAGUCCCCUGGAUGGCCAAAUAAUCGCGAGCCAUUACGGAAAGCCGCGGAUAUCUCGUGCUAUUCACCUUCCACCAAUCCAACACGUCGGUCGCUAUCGGAGCGGGUGGCUCGGCUAAAUAUUGAGAGAGCUCGUCUGAAGAGUUGGUCGUGCUCACUCUACGCCGCUUUCUCGCAAUCUCCUCGGCAAACGAUACGAUGUCGCUAUUUUCGGUAGUAGAAUCUUGAGUAGCGAAACCGUUACUCAUGGAAGCGUAUUCGGUGCUGGAGUAGUCUCUGAGAAAAUGGCUGCUGGCUUCUUCCAAGUGCUUUUCGGAGUUCAGAGCUUCCGGGAUGAGGUCGCGUUUGAUGCGCGGGUCAAGGACUGCAGCCGUGAAGGUGAAGGGGUAGUAGGCUUGGGUGGUGAAGCUGCGAGCCCUCUUGGACAUGUCGUCGGCUACGCGCUUAAGCCACUCUUGGCGACAGCUUUCCCGGCAAGAACUUAUCAGAUCAAAGACGUGGUCCAUUAAGAAAAGCACGAGGCCAACGGUGUGUACUUUGCAAGUGCACAGGUUCGUCGUGGUCUUGUAGAAUGGCUCCAAGUACGAAUGUAGAAUGGUAACCACGGAUUUUUCCGUGGUGCUUAGCAGCAAGUUUCUACCUCCGAAUGUUUCUUCGUGCUUCUUUAUAAUGCCAUCCAUUGCAUUGGGGGCCUGUACAAUAUACACAAAAGUAAAUAGACAAUGUUCCGAUAUAUUGGAAAAGGCAUCAUCAAAUGGGCUUUUUGCUGAGAAAAAGGUCACCACUUUUUUGAGGUGCAAAACCAAGACCACGUUUUUUUCGUUUUUCGCAACUUUGCCAACUUUUGAACUUUUAGGAGCAAACAACCUGUCCUCUACAGGAUUAUGAUGCAAUUCUUGAAUGUUUGGAGCACAAUUUCAAAUAAUCAACGUGCAAUUUCGAAUGCUCGACGACAUUUUCAGAAGUCGGUAGCCUACGUAUUAAGCUGUUCAUUGAUCAUGCAAAUUGUCAUCAUAGUAAUGCCGAGGAGGUUGCAAUUACAAAAAUAAUUAAUUAAUUAAUUAAUUAAAAGAUGUCCUGUUGUUGCAAAAACAAAAAAGUGGACCUCCUGUUCUUUUCGAGAAAGGCCUUAUUAAAUUAUAAUAGGGUAAGUAGUACCUUCCUUAUGAGAUCAAGCAUAGUGUAAUCACCAUUCCAGCUUGACGAAGUAUCGAGCGGGAAUUUCCAAUGAACUUCUUGAUAAAGCACAGCUAAUUGUUUAAAAUCCUCGAUAAUUUCCGGGUACGAGUUCAUCUCGAGCACAAACUCUCGAAUUUUGGACAAUAUCGGCUUUAUAGUUAUAAGACCGUCCUGUAUAAUCAGUUUCAAUGUCGUAGCUGCACAGGGAAUAUAGCAAAAGGGAAUUUUACGAGCAUCGAGCUCCUCUUUGAGAGCGUGGCAAGCAUGAAUCGCUUGCUGGCUGUUAUCAUUAGUGCAAGAGAGGAUCUUAGAAUCGAUAUUAAACGCCAGCAGGGCUUUCAUUAGGGCAUGCAAGAUCUCCGGCCCGGAGCACGGAUAAGAUAUAUGGCAGACAUCAAGAAGAACUUUGUGCAUAGACCAGCUUUCAUCGAUCCAGUGGCACUUUACCGACAUGUAAAAUAUCUGCUCAUAGGACGUCCAGAAAUCUACGGUGAUCGAAACCCUGGAAUUCACCUGCUCUAACGAUGUUCUUACGUCCUCGCGCAUGCUUCUGAAUACCUCGAGCGAGACCGCUUGAACCUUUUCUCUUGGCCAAAUUUUGAUUGAUGGGUUGAGGAACUUGAAAGAAUUCAAAAGCAUUUCAUCUCCGAGGGUGAAAGCAGGGAGGGAGGCGCCGAUUAGCCAUUUAAGUAGCAACCAGUUUAGAUGGUCGAGAUUGAUUCCAGGCCUGGUGUGAACUUGAGGCUUAAUGUUUGCUGUAGCAGCAGAAGCUUGCGGAGUUUGUUGUGCGGAAUCGAUAUAUUUAUCGUAGCCCGGAUGGCGGUUAUUCAGAUGCCUCCCCAGAUUUCCUUUCACGAAAUAAGUUGUUAGGAAAUUAUGAUACAAUUGAGAAAAACUAUAGCUAUGCAAAUUUGAGACCAUAUGCGAACUAGGGUAAACAAAAUAGUAGUGUUUUUGGUUCAUCGGAUACCUACUAUAAGUUUAUAAAAAUGUAAACUUCAAUUUGCCCCCUGUGGUACAGCGCGUUGUCAUUUUGCCACCCCGUGACUCAAAAAGUUGCACUUAACUAGUCUGUGGUUUUAUUUUCAAGGUAGUAAAGUAAUUUUUUUUUUUAAAACCACAUGGUGGUACCCUGUUUAACAAUAGGUCCUUAUAGUGAAACAAAAAUAAAAUCACAAAGUAGUUAAUAUACCAUAAGGUAGUUAAGUACAACUUCUUGAACCACGAGGAGUGAAAAUGCUCUAUACCGCGGGGGUGCAAAUUGAAGUUUACACUUUAGUCCUUGAAUUUUUUGGCCAGGAUUUUCAUUUCCUCCUCACAGUUUCAAUCACAACUAUUGAGUCCUCGAAGUUUCUACUGCAUAACAAUUUAAGUCCUCCCUUUAGUAUGUCCUCCGCGAAAGUACCACAUCAGCAACAUAAUUUUCAAUUUUAGGGACUAAAUUUAAACCCGAGUCAAACCUGAGUCAAACAUACCAGUUGCGGUAGCUAUAGAGUAGCUUUGCUUGCAAAAUUUGCAUCGGCGACUCUUUCCGUCAGAUGCCGUCUCAAAAUAUUUGAGAUACAGUGACGUCAUCGACUUUUUUCUCGGCUUCAAUGGUGGCGCGCCGACUUUUGUUUUGUCCGAAGAAUCCAUUACAGCUCCUAUAGUUUCUACGCCGGGCACAAGAGCCAUAUCUAUUAGUGUUCUCGUUUCCAUCCCUGUUAGAAGCAUUAAAUCGCUACAAAAUGAACACCUUUAUACAUCAGCAAAGAUUAAAUUUGACUUAUAUACAAUCCACUGAUCUUUACUAGCGAAAUUAUGCGAAAGCAAGAACUGAAAAGCAUAAUUCUAUCGAUAUCGUCAGCACAAAACUAGAAAUGAAAAUCUUCAACUACAAUGUAGAUCAUAGAUUCAUUUUACCAUUCGCACCCGUAUGCAAUUCUCGUAACUAUAAAUUCAUUAAAGAAAAAAAUUAGUUUAAAUUUUAAAGUCAAAGUGCUGUCGACAGACUCAAAAUUUUGAAAGUUCAGGUAGUUAAGAUUCAAAAUGGUUUACAAUUCAGAUAAGUUCUAUAUGUUUUUACCAAAAGAAUAUCAUGUGAUUCAUGAUUGUACGCCUUUAGGACUGGCUUUAAGAACAGCUUCUCUACGCCGAGAAACAACGACGGCGCAUUUGGCGAAAAAAGAAAAACAAAAAAAAAAAAAAGUUUUGAGCUUGAAAUAAACUUCACAAGUUAUCAAGUUUAGCAACCAUAUACUCAUCAUCAAAGUUUAUAGAUCUAUAUGUUAGUGGCCAUAUCCACAAGUGAACAAAUAUUUAACCUAAUUCCAUUUAGAUAAUAAGGAGAUGAAUCAAAUGGCGCAAAAACACGAUAAAUGAGGCCUAAGAGAAUCAACGAUUUCUCACUACGGAGCACGUCCUCAACCUACAAAAUCGCAUCGAUUUUGCCCUAGAAACCACUAAAGGAGGCGACUUUGUCGUCGAACUAGGAAUCGAACAGAGGAUCAAGGCUACACCAACACCAAAGAGCAUCGAAGGGACCAAAAAGAGCGUGGAAAAAGCCCUAAAUCUUUUUUUUUUUUACCUCAAAAACGCAUGAGGGGGGCCAGAAUCGUCCGUACGAGCCCCCGAUCCUCCCGAUCUACGGUGCGGCGGAGGGGGGGGGGGGUGAGUGGAGCGAUCUGAGCGAGAAAGGGAGGGUCGGAGCGAGAGAGGAGCGAGGAGGGGGAGAGGGAGCGACGCGGGGGAUGCGGCGGCGCCGGGGCGCGGCGCGGUGGCGAUCGGGCUUAUCGGCGGGAUCGGCGCCCUAAUAUUUUUGGGGUUGGGCUUGGACGGCCGGCGGGUGGGCGACGUGGCGUUGGUUGGUUGGGUUUGGGUUUGUGGGCGUUGGGGGGGGGGGUGGGUUUUGGGUGGGUGGUGCGGGAGCGGCUCGGCUCAGACGCACGUGACGCAGCGCGGAGCUGAGGCUUGGGACAGUUGUUAGGCGAGUAGGAUGUCGAUUGUUCGGAUUUGGGGCGAAUUUUCAAAAGUUCGAACGCGAACCGGACUCCAAACCCGAAAUCCGAAUCCGAUUUUGAAUCCAACGGAUUUUAAAAAUUAAUAUUCAAAUCCGAACUUGACCAAACACUUGAAACCCGAAUCCGAACCCAAAAAUCCAAACCGAAACAAUUUUUUCUCUUUUUAAUAUUUCAAAAUAUAUUACAUUAAAUCUAAAUUUUUAAAAUACAAAUUUCAAGAUAACAUUAAAUUUUUAUAUGCAUAUUAUAUAUAAUGUAAAAUAAAUUCGGAUUCGGGUUGGUUUCGAGUUCGGGUCGGGUACAAUCAAAAGCUAUAUCCGUACUCAUAUCCGUCAGGUUUUUAAUUUUAAUAUUCAUAUUCGAAACCAUAUUAUUUAGUAUUGAAUAAAUUCGCUCGGUUGCGAUUCGGGUUUGGAUAAAAGUUUGGGUAUCCGAACCCAUUGACAUCCCUGUAGGAAAGGAAUGGGGUUUUUGCAGAUAUACCCUCAAUAAUGUGCAUAUUUACAUCUGAAAAAUCUGUUGGAGAGUGUAUUACUAUUUAGGGCCUAUUUGGUAUAAUAUUAGACAAAACAGAGUUGGUCGAAAAUAAAUAAAAGUAUAUAUUUUUAAUUUUAGUACUGUAUACAAAAAUAAACUGGAUGUUUUUUUUUUCAUUAUACUCUCUCCAUUUCCUAACAAAAAAAUUUUGAAACUGCCCCCUCACCUAUUUUAUUUUGGCUCGAGACCCCCUGAUCUUCUAGCUAUUUUGAUUUGGGAAGUAAAAGAUUUCAUCAAAGUUAAAGCUCCAUUAGUAAUUUGUUGACUUUAAUUAAUUAAACUCUACCCGCUUCAAAAUAAUUGAUAUCAUUAAGCUUAAUAAAAUCACUAACAAAUUUAAUAAAACUCUCAAAAAAAAUAGAAGAACAAAAUCAGUUACUUAAUUCCAAAAACUAAGUUUAGAGGGGUCAAUAAUGCAUAUAAAAAACACAAGUUCCCCAAAUUGCAAUUUGGCCAUGGUGUAAAGAUAAAGAUACCCACAAAACUACGCAAGGUGAUUAAAUAUAAUUUCGUACAAAAAAACUCAUCAACAAAAGUCACAACUUUGAAAUUCCUUUUUACCUAAUCAAAGUUAUAGUAAGUCAAAGAGCAAUUAAGCACAAGCUCCUACUAGGGUUUCAGAUGAGAAAGAGAAAUACACCACUCCACUACAAACAGAAAAGGCUUUAAAAAGUCACACCUCUUAACUAAAAAAAAGAAAAACAAAAAAACAUAAUUAAAGCAAACCUAAAAAGUCUACAACACUGAUUCUUCUUCUUCUUCUUCUUCUUCUUCUUCUUCUUCUUACAUUUACCCAAACAUAAAAGAGAGGAGUACUUUUAACCUCCCCUAAACACAACCACAAAAGCUUACAUCUAAGAGCAUCGUUAAGUGACUCUUUUAAGGACAUCAUACUACUACUACAUAAAAGAAACAUAUGUGAAUCUGGAGUGACCACACUAAGUCAAAUAUUUCUUCCCCUUUUUCUUUGGAUUAAAGGCGACACUGCCCGACACGCUGAAACUAAAAGUUAUUUCUAUUUUUGUUAAAAAAAAAGAGUACCCACCAUGCUAAUCUCCUGAUUGAUCACUUAAAUUUCCAGGUAUUAUAUAUGGACUAGCAUGGAUUCUGAGAUUUCCUGAAAUGAGGCUACACACAAUACAGGGAUAGUGCUCGACAUUAGAAGUCCCAUCUCUAGAUUUCAUCUAGGUUUUUGUGGCGAUUCCUGAUCAAUAGGAGCUGCGAUUUGGGGUAGAAUAGCCGCGCCCCCUGCCCAUGUAGCCGUACCCCCGGCCGCCAUAGUAGGGGCCUCGGCCGCGACCGCCGCCUCGAAAACCGCGACUGCCGCUGCCACGGAAACCCCGAUUCUGCCUCGGAAAGUCGCCAAAGGUCUGUGGAACAAAGAGAGAAGAGAGAAGUUACACACAUGUACCCUCCCUGGUGACAUGAACUUUCACGGAUAUCAUCCAAUAAGUUGAAAAGAGAACAAAUGCCGUCAGAGCAUAUUUUACAAAAAAACAAUAACCAAAAUGCACCAGAAUCUGCUUGUCAGAAUAUUCAGGCUGGCGGGGAAGUGCCUAGAGUACUGAUGAAAGUUGCUUCUCAUUUCUUACUUACCUCUGUAUCUAUUUUCAUCUGCUCCGAGAACUUGGUCCGUCCGUUACGGUUUCCCCGAUCAAGCGUGGCGCAAGAGAGUGAAUCAAAAAAGUCGUCCUUGACAUAAACAGGCUGAAAGAGAAAAAAAAAAAAAUGAAGAAAAUAAAAUAAAAGAAUUGGCGUUUACAAUUAGCUCAAUAAGCUACUAGUCCUAGAGAUGAGUAUAGAGGGAUUAGUUUUAGGAAUUAGUUUUACCUUGCUCUCUGGCUUUACAGCUUCUAUUUCAUCAUCCUCUUCAACAUCAUAAUCUUCAUCCUCUUUUAGUUCUCCAUCCUUUUCUCUUACUUGGGCUUUGCUUUUGCCGAGAUUACCCCAUACCUCAUCUUUUUUAAACUUCUCAUUCAUUGCUAUGAAAUCAAAGUCCUCGGUAAAUUGCGUCACAGGGCGAGAGUACUGUAAGAUGGAAAGAUUGAAGAACCUCCUUAUGAAACUCAGUUUGGUUAAUCUUAAAACCUUCGAUAUCUAGAGCAGUCAGAAAAAAGAGCAAGAAGAGAAACAAGAAAAAAAAAAAAAUCGUGCUAGGUGGGAAUGCAAGAAUUGUUGUAUCAGUCAGCUAUGGAAUAUCCAUUAGUAGGCAUGGCAACAAUUCGGAGAAGGCACUUUUUACGAUAUAGUUUCAUUCAUCAACAAACGCACUCAAGCCUAUCUUAGUGGAAGCACAAAUAAGGGAGAGACCCGGUUACUACAAGAAGCAGCAGUAUAUCAUUAAAAAAAUACAAAAUUGCCUUCAUUUGUGAAUUUGGAUGAGAAGAAAUUGUAUUUUUUUUUUCUUGCUUUUAGAGGAAUUUGAACCCACGAAACAGUUUUUUUCCAGCUAUGGUUUUAAUUUAAGCUCCUGCUCACACUACAAAACAAGCAAGAGAUAGUAUUUUAAAAAAAAAAAAAAAUGAAAAAAGGGAGGUACGUCAACUAGAGUUGUCCCAGAAAACCACAAUGGUAUAAGGUUUAAACCCUUAUCAUUCUAGCCUAGUUUCUGAUAAUAGGAAAAAAAUAAGAAACGCCAAAGUCUAAUACAGCAUAUUAAUAAAAAUUUCUUGAGAACAAUUUAACCAUAGAAUAUAAAAUACAAUUCUACUGCAUCAUUUCAAUAGGUAAAAAAGAAAAAAAAUGCUACAAAGUAUAAAAUGGAGAUAAUUCCUCCAAGGAAGCAGUAACAGGAAGCAAGAAUUGAUAGCAAUUCUUUCUUCUAUAUAAGUCAAUGCUUUCAUAAGCCACAGAAGAAUUAGAGGGAACAACACUAGGCUAAUAUUAUAUUCAAUUGCGCAUUUAGAAAAUUAUGCAGAGCAUCUCCAAUGCAGGAAAACGCCAAAAGAAGAGAAAGCACGAAGAAAAAAAAUGGCAUACCCCAUUUCCUCUUCCUCUUCCCCUUCCCCUAUAGUUGUGAUGGGUAUAUGAAGCAGCUCCAUUAGUCUGAAAAUAAGUAAAUAUAUAAAUAAUCUCAAAUCGUAGAGAACUAGAAAUUCUCCUAAACAACAGAAAAAGCUUGUAACACAAGAAAAUACAGUCCAUAUUUCUGAAAACCAUCAAAAUGAAAGAACAUUUAAACUUAAUUACAGGUUCUUUCAUAAUAGCUCAUCAUUAUAUAGAUAUAAACCAACUUCAGAAAAAAUGCGAAUUAUUAUUCAGAGCUCAUGGCCAGUGAUACAUGAUCUCCUAAGCAAUUAGAAACAAAUUAGAAUUUGCAUCAACUGACAGCAGACAAUAGUGGGAAUGUUCAGCAAAGAUGCCAAAUAGCCAAAUAAGACUUAUGUUUAUGGUAUAUAAAGCAUUAAAAGAUAAGGUUGAUAGUUCAUAAUGUAAGAUCCAAAAUCCGAAAAACAACACAAAAAAAUGAUCAACCAAAAAAUAAGGUUAAGUAAAGGAUUGCAGCACUAUGCAAGUAAAAUCCACAUAACAAAAGAAAAAAGGCAAUCAACUUAAAUAGUGCAAAUCAUGUAGGGAAUUUUGAAAUACCAAAGUCAAGAUAGACUCUUCUAGAACUCGGCUAUCAUUAACCCUCUGCUCAAGUACUUGUCACAUUGUUACAUCAGACAAUUCAUUACACAUAAGAUUACGAAAUUAAAUUAGAAGAACAGAUAUUGUUAAAUGUAAGAGCAGUUUCCCAGCUUCUAAAAUUAUAAAAGAGAAAGCAGAGUAGAGUUAAUUACAAGCUAGCGCCUCUACUCUAAGAGGAAUAUUCGGCCCCUGAACUCCUUUUUGUAUCAAUUAACCAACCAAACUUCGAUAAGUUAUCGAUGCCAUCCGCUCUUAUCAAACGAAUCUACUCUGAUAUAGACAGUUAAAAGUAACAAGAAUUAUGAAAUAAAGGGGAAAAAAAAGAACACGUGAUUAAUUAAGUUUAUGGAUCAUAAACAAGGCAAGAAAGACUAUUUGGUUAUAAGAGGGAUGACUUUGUAACUCAACAGAAGUAAUAAACUGGAGUAAUAUACGUAGGAACACCAUCAUACCUUCUGAACAACUGGUUUAGGCAAUGGCAGUAUUGGCUCGCUAAUUUCAGCUGCAGCACGAACUGAUGGCUCAGGCAAUAGAGGCUCGUUCUUAGUUUCUACUUGCUUAGCUUCUUGUUCUUUAUGGUUCGUUUGCGAGGAUUGAGGUAAACCGAUUGUGGAGGAAGCCAUCUGUAGAAGUUGACCCGGAGUAACUAAAGGUAACAAUGUCUCGACUGGGCUUGAACUAGAUGAAGCAACAAGUGAGGCCAUCUGAGGCAUAGUUUGAUAAGGCAAUGUUGGACCAGGAGCAGAACCAGGUUUGUUGCUUGCAAGAGAAGUCAGAUUUUGAAUUUGGGCUAAAGUUGGGCCGGGCUCAACAUUAGAUGUUGUUUGUGAAGUCACAAAAGGGAGACUGGCACUAGGAGUAGAAGUCAAAGCUGGCUUAUCUAGCAGUGAACUCGCUGAGAUUUCUGGAGUUAAUACACUACUGGUUGAAGUAGGCAGUGAUGUAGUUGAUAAUGUACUAGAAGUUAGACCUAGACUAGUACUAGAGGGCUGCAAUAAAGGAGGAGGAUACACUUGCAAAUUUUCUGAUCCAGACGGCAAAGAAGUAUUAUUCAGUCCAGGAUAUUGAAGAGGCUGUUGAAUUGAUUGGGGAAUUGACAUUCCAGGUAGGGCCCGAAGGAAAGGAGGCUGUUGUAAAUGAGAAAGUCCGCUUGAUGAUGGAUAAUAUCCAGGCCGGUACAUCAUUGGCAUUGCGGGCCCAGGCCCGCUUGCAGGAGAAGAGGCCCAUGGACCGAGGCCUCCACCAGGUUGGUAAAGAGGCAAAUUGGUUUGAAAUGCUGGGCUUUGAAGGCCCACUUGAGCUGUGUGGGAACUGAGGUCUGGUGCAGUUGCAGCUCCAACUGAAGGCAAUGUUGAAGAUGUUGACGGUGGCAGAGAAUAAUGCGACUGCAUAAAACAUAAAAAAACAAAAACAAAAACAUAAAGACUAAACGAGCCAGGGAUAAAGAGAAUUAGUUCAAGUUUUUAGCAUCCAGGAUUUACCUGAAUAAUAGCUGGAUCAUUGUGUAUGGAAGUAGCUGGUUGAACUUGGGGUGAGGACUUAACUUGCAAAUCCUACAAAAGUGCAAGCAUAAAUCGAGAUUAUAAUGUAGCUAAAACAAACUCAACAAAGAUGAUAAUACAUCAAAAUUGCAAGACAUGAAAACAUUAAUGAAGUAAUAAAAUCUAAUAAAUUCUUUGUACGGAAGGCAUCAGAAGCGAAUACUUCAUAUCCAAGUGCAAUUAAGACAUCAAUAUUCUAGCAGCAACACACAAGCCAGAGAGAGAUAGCAAUGUCGCAGAACUUGCAGUGCUAAGUUCAUGUGAAAUAAGUUAUGUACCCAGAUCUUAUUCUUCUUUCUAUUUCGGCCCAAUUGUUCCAUCAUUUCUCACCUAGUCCUGUGUCCAGUAAUCCCAAUAUCCAACCCAACUGGGUCCAAACAUAACCAAUACUUCCAUAUUAGAGUUCCCAUUAGCUGGCAUCUACUACAUUCAAGGUACUUAUGGAUAAAGAAAAAGAACUUCCCUUCUUAUAAUUGGCUGUGGAUUAUGCGCGUCUCAUUUGAAGGAGAAAAAAAGAGAAAAUAAAACAAAAGAGAAAAUAAAACAUGAUUCACUGUACCGUUUAAUACCACUAACCAUCCCUAUCAAUAAAUGGAAGAAAAGUCUGGGCAUAUAAAUGAGAUGUAGUAUGUCAGGAUCUAAGAAGUUCCUAGAGUCAAUAUGGAGAAAACAAAAACUAAAAGCCAUAACAUUUCCUUUUAACCAUUAUACUACGAUAAUAUACAAUUUGAAUAAGGCUCAAACCAUCCAACAAACUAUAAGGAGAGACAGAUGAGGUUUGGCUUAAACAACAAUGAGAAAGAUAGAACAAGAUACCAAGUUUGCAACAUAUAAACACCUAAUAUUUCCAAUAUUUAAGGAAAGGGUUUUUAAGGAAAUUAAAAAAAUGUGCAAAAAAGCAGUCUCUCAUUUUCUUUCCACUCUACCCGAAAAAAGAAAGCUAAAACUUAUUUACUCUUCCUUUAACCCAAAAUUUAAUGUAAAAAAGAAAGUUCUUUUGACACUAUUAUAUUGGGCAAAUAAAAUUUUCCUUGUCAAGAGCAGGUCUACAUCUAUUAAAUUGGAUGUAUAAUUACACCUAUUACAUGGUUUUUCGAGUGAAAAGGAAACUACUAUAAUUAUAGCAAAAAUAAAUGGCACAAAGUUGCCAAAGAGAUAUAAUAAUGGUAUAUCAAAUGAAAAGGUAAUUACCUUAGUUAUAGAAAAAAUAAAUGGCACAAAAGUGCCAAAAUGAUAUUUCCUUACAAACAUUAACAGAUAUUAUUGUUCUUAGAAGAUCUCCGAAAAUGAUGUGUUUUUAAUGCUUUUAAAAUGUAUUUUUAACAUUACCUUAAUAUCACUUCCUCGAAAGAGUAUGUACUCAAAUAUUUUGUCACUAGCAAGAAUUUGUGGGCCAUCUUUCUUUCGUCCUUCAGUUCCAAAAGAUCGUACUGCAGGAAGGAAAGGAUAUUAAUAAAACCAGACAGUAGAAAGCUAAUUUAAGUAUAUCCAAAACUUGAAGUAGGAUAUGGCAAUGAAUAGAGCUGGAAUAUUCGACAUAAGGCUAGCCCAAAAGAGAAUGCUUCACAGAAAAUAUCAGACAAAAUUAACAAAAUUGUCACCAAACAGCCUUUUGAACAUUUGCUGAUUACUAAUUAAUGCGCUAGAUAUAUAACACUUUCAAGCUUUGAUGAGAAUCACCCAGGCCAUAAAUAGUCAGGGUAAAAGAUUUAAACAUUAAAUAGAUAGAUAAUAUUUGAUCUGCAGCUGCGGUCAGCGUCAGAGAAAUAAUACAUUAAUUAGCCAGAUAUAAUCAGCAACGGAUCCGAUACCCUACUACCAAAAUAUAGAAAACGUUAAACAAUAUACUUGCAAUAAAGAUUUAGACAAUAAGAAAGGAAAUAAUAAUCAAGGAAUGGGUUUAGCAUAUAACUUACUAUGUCCCUGAAGUAAAGCAUAAACGGGCAACAGUUGUUUAUUUAAAAUUUCAGUAACAUAACUAAAGCAAGAUAUCACAAUUCCUUUCUAACAAUUACCAAUGUAUAAUAGUCUAAACUACCAAAACAAAGAUCAGAAGGAAUGAAUAAUCUGAUCAAAUAGCAAGUUGUUCGCGUUUUCUCGAUGGAAACAAAAACAGUAGAAAAUCUAAUUUCCUCCACAAGACAACAACCCAUAAACACAAAAAGGGCAAAGAAGCAUGAUUCUUAACUAGGGUUUUGGGGCUUUUUGCCCAAACAUCUUGGACGUGUUUUUGAGAGUAAACAAUUUGAUCCUUACUACACGAUAUUACUUGUUACCUAAGCAAAUCACAGGAAGCAUCAAAAGCACAUCACAUUCACAUAAAACAAGAACCAAACCCUUCUCCCAAAAACAAUCCCUUAAACCCCCUAAUCAACAACCGAGAUCUCCUCACCGCAUUACAAAGCCCUAACCUUCUCGAGGAUCAAAAACCUAGGGUUUCAGAUCGAAAAGGACGGGAAACAAAAUGGAGAUUUGGGGGAGGGUUAAGGGAACUACCGUUGCGCAAUCCGAUGCUGGAUUCUUCAGUGUUGAUGCUGUAGAGGACGCCCUCGUACCUGAUCUCGCUCUUCGACGUCAGGCUUAUGAGGCUCCCGAUGUAGGAGUCGGCCGAGGGCCCUGAUCUCGACGCCUCCGCCGCCAUGGCCACCCCCUCACCAAGCUCCCCUCGCUACGAGCUCCCAAAACCCUAAGAGAGAGAGAGAGAGAGAGAGAGAGAGAGGGAUUGAGAGAGAAAACCCUUUUCGCCUUUUUUUUUUCCUUUUAUCGUCGUUCUCUCGCUCUGUUCUUGAUCUACUGUGUGUAUAUGCGUGCGUUAUUAACCUCUUCGUUGGUCGGUGGCAUUUUUGUAAUAUUCCCCAUUAUCAUAACCUUUUUGAUAACCCCAUGUUGCGGAGUAUCCAAUAUGGCUAUGGAGACUAGCCCGACCCGAACAAAAAUUAUACGAGACCGAUCCCAAACCAAAACGAUCGGAGAUCAGAUAUUCACCGUACACCUGGACUCAUCACGAGGCAGAGUCGCCCAGAUUAGAUUGGGCCUCAUACGAGACGAAUCGGGGCGAGAGCUCCACCGAUCCGGAUCCAUUUAAAUAUAUAGUGGAUGAUACUAUGGAAUGGACGGAAAAAAAGAAAAACAAAAAGAGUAAGAAAAAAAAAAAAAAACUCUUCCUCGCAAACUAUGGCUAUGUCUCUACACUCACUCCAUCAUCUCCCUCCCAAACCCCUCUCUCCACCACCACCUUCUCCUCCUCAUCUUCCUCACCAAACCCUAGCCCUAACCCUAACCGCACCUCCUCCUCCCCCGCUACCCCUCUCCACCCUCUCCCGCCGCUCCCUCGCCCUCGUCGCCGCCCCCCUCCUCCUCCUCCCCCCCGCCGCCGCCGCCGCCGCCGAUGACGACGGCGGCGUACUCUGCCCCGGCGAGGCCCCGACCACGGCGCGCGCGUUCCUCGACGUCGCCAUCGAUGGCGCGCCGGCGGGGCGCAUCGUCGUCGCGCUGCGCGGCGGAGCAGCGCCGCUCGCCGCCGCGCGCUUCGCCGCCCUCGUCUCCGGCGCCGCGGGGGUCAGCUACCGCCGCAAGGAGUUCGUCCGGAUCACCCCGAGCUACGUCCAGCACGCCGGCGUGCGGUCCUACGGCGCCGACGCCGAGGGAGGAGGUGGACGAGCGGGGGCCGAACGGGACGGAGUUCGUGAUCGCCGCGAGGGACGCGCCCGAGCUCGACGCAGCGGCGGUGGUGGUGGGGUGGGUGGUGGAGGGGAUGGAUGUGGUCGAGAGGAUCGCCGCGGUGAAGACGGUGAAGGACAACACAAGCUCCCCCUACUUCAGGUGAUAAUUAUUUCGUAAAUGCGAAAGCACCCAAAUUAUCCGACAUUGAUGACCAAUUCUCGUUUAGCCAUUUGAAUUCGUAACCCUGCAAAGUUCGAAUGUUUCGCAUCUGUCAAUAGUAAACUGGUAAGGAUGAAACUGAAUCUAAGAUCAAACUUUAGGGACAAAAUUGAAAUCAAAGUUAAACUUACUCUUCUGAUGAAAUAGAUAGAAGAAGGGGAUCAAACUUCAAGUAUUGAAUUGUUUUGAUUCAUGGUUUGAGGAUGAAAUUGAGAUCUGGGUUAAACCUUUUCAGGACUAAAAUUCUGCAGGAUCCAUUUCAAUGAUACUUGUUUUGAGUAUUGCUGUUCGAAGAAGCUCUGCGUCCUUACAUAAAACUAUAUAUAAUAGAAGUAGAAAUUAUCAAACUUGGUGCAAUGGUACCUUUCCUUUUUAAGUUGCUAUCGCAAAACUCUCGACUUGAAAUCGCAAAAUGUUUGACUAAUACUUAUCGGAAUAGGCUAGAAGUUCCAGAAGCCAGGCCAAAGAUGCAGUAUAUACUUAUUAGUCAACACAACAUCUUGUUAUUGGGCUUGAAACUUUAAUAGAGAUCGCAAAUCUAUAGACCGAUAUAACCUCGGGGAUUUAAACUCAAAAAGCCGAAACCUCUUGCUUAUAUUCUUUUGUGAAUCGAAACCCGAUCACCUAUUACUAGCGUGUCGAACGGUUUCUGAUUAUACUGGCGAGCCAAAAUAAGCUUGUGAAACCUAGAGUUUGAAGCCGUUAAGUAUUAGCUGAGUAGAGCUUCUGCUUUUCAGGUUCAGUAUUUCAUUCCGUCUUGUCGUCAGAACAUUAAGUUCUAAACUCCUUACCAAGUUUUUUCAUUCUUUUUGAGUACUAAAUCUUUUUCGAAAGCCACUCCUAAGCGGCUAGGGCUUCUCGAACUCCUCUAGUCGAAGCACUUCUACAAAAGCUCCUGCAGAGCCAAACAAGCCCGUAGUAGUCGUGUUCGUUAGAAGCUUUUAAUGAAGAACGAUCAUAUAGUACAUUUGCUGAUCCUCUUCAAACUUGGUUUCAUAUUUCAGGGUGGCGAAGUUGAUUGGCGAUAAAAGAGCAGUGGUUGCAGAGAGAGGCUUCAACCGCCCUUACUCGAAGGUGGUCGUAACCAAUUGCGGUCUUUUAGAUUAGAGCAAAAGUGCUUCUUUCAUUUAUUUUUGCUCCCCUUUUCCACCUAAUUCUUUUCUCUUGAUAAUUAGAAGCCCUGUAUAUUUCAUGCUGUGUGUAAUCAUGUAGACUCAGUGCAAGUUAAUCACCUGAAUGUUAGCUAAUAGAUCGAUCUAGUAGGAAUCAGGCUCAGAAAUAUAUAUUAACACUGAGAACAAUGUUCGAGACUCAAUACGACUAUGUGAUCCUUUUGGAGUUUCGAUUCGCUCCGAUUUUUCUCUCUUUGUUUCGUUUCCUUAAAACCUUCAAUUAAAUCUUAGUAAUGAAGCAUUUUUUCAGCAUUUUAUGAAACUUGCUAUCUUUUCAAGCAUUCCCCUCUACACCCAUUUUAUCAUCUGUAAAUAACAUUAUUCUCCUCUCAUCUUUUCUUAAACUUCAGGUAUUUAUCCAUACUUCCUUUGAGCCAGGGUUUUGAGUUUUUUUUUUCGAUCUUCUUCGUCUCGAACUUCAAGUUUUUGAUCUUCUUCGUCUCCUUUUCCGGUGGUUUACGAUGUUUGAGCAACGCUACAGAUACAUCCUAAUUUGAGUGUAUAUUUUACACCCAUUCUAUUCUAAGGUCAGUCUUAUCACAUCAAUUUUUUAAAAUUUUACUCAAAAUUAAUUUGAUUUUUAUCAACCGCAGGAUUGCGGAUGUAAGAUGUACACCCUUAUUUGGGAUGUACGAGAAGCAUUUUUCUUAUUCUAGAAUAAUUCAAUAGCAAUUAUGGUACAAUGAAGUGAGAACAGUAGUAAAAUAAAUAUAACCCUAUUAUUUCACUUAACAUUGAUUACUCAAAUUCAAAAUAUCUUGUACCCAUGAUUUUGAGUGGGUAUCUAUUUCAAUAUAUCAUUGGCCAACAUUUAUAGUACAUUUAUUUUUCCACUACAUAUUCAAUAAAAGCACCCUUCAUUCUCAAAAUAUUCACAUAAUAACAUUCCAAAUAGUUUGCAUAUCUUAGAUUCUUAGUAAAAUAAUUGCACCCCUUUUAUAUAGGUUUUAUACAAAUAUAUAUAUACCUCAAAUGUUAAAUUUUACAUAAAAACUCUUCAUACAAAAUGGCUACUAUUGUCCAAUAUUACCUUCUCACUCUUUUCCUCAUAAAUAUUUUCCUUUUCCACAUACCGUUGUCUAAAGCCGGCGUUGACUUCAUAGUCAACACAUGCAAGCACACCCAGAACUCCGGCUUCUGCGUAGCGGCCCUCGAGUCCGACCGCCGCAGCUUCAACGCCUCCACGGUCGCUGAGCUCACGGGAAUCGCCAUCGAAAUUGCCACCGCAGCAGCGGCCUCGACGCUCUCGCGGAUCAACGACCUCGCGGACCAAGACCCCGGCACGGCGGCGGAGGAGGCCCUGAAGCAGUGCGCGCAGCUGUACGGGAAUGCGAUCGACGACCUCGAAGAGGCGGGGAAGGACGUCCGGUCGGGGGACUACAGCGGCGCCGCCGAGCCCGUGGAUAGCGCCUGGGAGGUGCCGCGGAGCUGCGAGGAUGCCUUCGCCGACCGCUCGCUGAGUUCGCCGGUGGCGGCGGAGGAUAAGGAUGUGGAUGUCAAGUGUGGGCUUUGCUUUGAUCUUGUAGACCUGUUGAAUAGCUAACAAUGUGUCUCGUGCUAAAAUCAUGAUAAAUUCGAAUUGAUUUAUAAUUCAAAUUAUUUCAAAUCUACAACUAGGCAUCACAAAUACGGUAUACGAGACACGACACGAUUCGGACACAACGACUAGCUCCUGUGGGGUUUCAAAUCGCGAUCGAAUUGAAUUGAUUUCGAGUCCGAGUGAAUUCAAUUGAAUUGAAUUUGAGAAUAAUGUUUGUUGAAUUUCUAGUUUUUAUUUCUUUUAUUAUUUUUGAGUCGUAAAAAUACCUGCCAACUGUUCUAAAUGGUAAUGGUUAAUUGGACACUGAACUUUAAAGUUUAGUGGUCUAAUAUUGCAAAUUAUAUUGGUUUCAAAAAAGCCCGGCCCGGCCCAAUUAAUUCUCGGCCUGGUUAUUACAUUAAAAAUCAUAAUAACUAGGGCUUUUAAUAGAUUUCUAAAUAGGCUCAGGCCACGAUAUUUAUGGAUAUCCAAAAUUUUAUUCGAACCAGAGCGGUUAUAGUUUCAGUUAUAAGUAUAAAAACCAAGAAUCCUAUGGAUUUGGGUUUGGGUAUGAUUUUCAUCUGGACCUAAGCCUGAACCCAAACCCAAGCCGAUUAUAUAAUAUAUAAUAAUAUAAAAUUUGAAUUCGUACUUUAAAAAUUUAGAUUUGAGUCACUAUCAUAUGUUUUGAAAUUCGUGAUCGGAUUCUGAUUUUCAAAACCAGAAGGUUUCAUGUUCGGGUUCGGUUUUCGAUUUUGAUAGUCGACUUUGGAUUUGGGGUUUUGAAAAUCUCCCCCAAAUCCGACCCCUUGAUAUGACAUAUCUAAUAUAUUUUAUAUUAAAGUAAUGCCCUAAUUGCACCAAAUAGCUUAAUUUCGAAACAAAAAACUUUAUGGUUUGAUUCAAAUUUAAUCCAAGCUCAAGAAACUUUAUAGUUGAUGUUAGAUUUAUUUUCAGCUUAAAAACAGUCCAAAUUUAUUCUUUUUAAAUUUAUUUGAUUUAUUCUACUAAGAUUCUCUGGAUUGGAUUUAUUUAAAGCUUCAAAUAUAAAUUGUACUCUACUUCUCAGGUUUUAAAUUGUACUCUACUUUUUAAAAUUUUGAUUUAUUCUACUAAGAUUCUCUGGAUUAGAUUUAUUUUUUAACAGAUGAUAAAUAAAAUAAUAUUUUUGCCAUCACAAAUAUAUUCCUCCAAAAUUUCCAACUGGUAGAAUUAUGUAGAAAUGUCCUUCCAAAAAAUUUUCAACGAUCAUCUUUUUCCUUAUUGCCAUCAGAAGUAAAAUAAGAAGGGUAAAAAGAUCAAUUUAUCUCAUUGACUAAUCAGUGCUAAAUAUUUUACCUAUGAUUAAUUAUAUUUUUAUAAUGGAUUCUAAUAGCAGAGAUAUAUUUAAAAACGUUAGGACUUUUGUAGGGAUAAAUAUGAAAAGUUAAAUUUUGUAGUGAUAUAUCUGCUAUUCUAUAUAUUUACAGAGAGUUAUAUGUAAAUUAACCCUUAAUAAUAAGAGAAGAGUUUUUUUUGGCUAAAUUACAGAAAACCUCUCUAUAAAUACUUCUUUUCUUAUUUUUCCUUCCUGACUUUCAAAAAAAUUAUAUUUUGCCCCCUUAAAAUUUCAGAAAUAUUUUCAGGGGGUACAGCAUAAAUGGAGAGGACAAAAUAAUCAAAUUACCCUUACUUCUUCUAUAAGAAAAAAGUAAUUUUUUUUAAUAUAUUUCUAUUAUUUUGAAGAAUAUUUUCGAUAUAAAUUAUAAAAUAUGGACGGAAUAGUGGUGGAAUUCUGACAGAAGGGAACUGAAUGCAACAACUUGAAAUGUUGAGGGAGUGAAACAUAAAUCUUUUAAUAUUAGACAAAAAAAAAAGUAAAAAAAUAAAUAUUUAUGAAGAUAUUUGUCAUUUCGUUUUAUGCCCCUACAACCCUUUUACUAGCUUUUAACACCACCUCUCUCACCUCUCCCAAUCCCCAAUUGAUUAGAGAGAGAGAGAGAGAGAGAGAGAGAGAGAGAGAGGGGAAGGGAUUUAAUGCAGAGCCUGCUAAAAAACAAACCCACCACAUGGAAGAAACCAUGCAGCAGCAGCCAAGCACAAAAAGCCUGGAAGGAUAGAGACCCUUCCUCACCAUGGAGCCAAUGUUUUAAAAAUCAGGUCGAACAGCGAUCUAAAAAUAUUAUCGGAUCAAGGGUCACUGAUUCAAUUAAUGACUUACAAUGCCCUAAAUAGUUUCAUAUCUGAUGGAAAAAAAAAAGUUUCAAUUGAAAAUAUAUGAGACCUCGUAUUCUAUUAAAAAUAACUGGUUUUAAGCAUUUUGGGCCGAUAGUUUAGAUCUAAUGUAAGUUAUUAUUGCUAGUGGAUUGGAUCGUUACAUCGCUUGGGUUGAACCAGUGAUCGAUGCCUACAUUAUAUACUAUUUUAGUAUCAUAUUUUAUUAUAAAAUACUGAUUUUUAGACUGCAUUAAAUAGAUGCAAGUUUGCAAGUUUCAUUUUUCAUGAUAGAAAGUAAAAUCUACAAAAAAUAAUAAUAAUAAUUAUAAAUAAAAUUAAAAUUCACACUAAUGAAGAAAAGCUAAAAACUCAAAAACAAAAAUUCAGACAGCGUUUGCUCAGAACUGUAGUAGUUCACCAGUUCAUUAGCUAGUUGAAUCGUUGGUUCAAAGCAAGUUUUUUAAGCUUGUCCACUUCAAAUGGUUGAACCGAAUCACUUUAUUAACCGAGUCAUGGUCGAACAAAGUUGUUGGACUCAAGUUUUCAAACAUUACUUUAUAGAGAGAGAGAGUGCGACCAUUUCAAAGACUUAGUUCAAAAAAAAAUUCAGACCGUUUGUUCAGAACUGUACCAGUUCACCGAUUCGUUAACCGGUUGAAUUGCCGAUUCAAAGUAACAUUUUUAGCGUAUCCAUUUCAAAGGAUUGAGCCGAAUCACUUUAUUAAUCGAGUCAUAGUCGAACCAAAUUGUUGGACUCAAGUUUUCAAACAUCACUUUUUAGAGAGAGAGAGAGAGAGAGAGAGAGAGAGAGAGAGAGUGACUCCUACUUUUUUAAGAUUUUUUUUUUUUUCAAAAGUGGAGACAUCUGGUGACUGUUAUUUCAAUGCCUUAAUGCCUAUCAUCAUCAUUCAGUGAUUUGCAUCUUUUUUGUAGAUGCAUAUACAUACAUGCAUAGUACAUCUUUUUAGAGAGAGAGAGAGAGAGAGAGAGAGAGAGAGAGGGGAUUAGGCAUCAUCAUAUUCACCAGCAGCUGUGGACCAUCUUAGUAAAUUUGCCCCACAUCUUACUUAAAACAUGAAAAAUAAUUUUUCAUAAAAAAAGUUUUAAUUUGAUGAAGAAUAAGUUUUACCUUUAAUAAUAUUACCUUUAAUAAUAUUUGAUUUGUAGAAAAAAAAUAAGUUUUCAUCGAUAUUUAUUUGGUUGGAAGAAAAAAAAUUAUAUUUAUUUGCUUUGGUGCAAAAAAAAAUAAAUAAAUAAAAUUUUACGCGGCUUAAGUUGUUAUUUUUUGUCGAAAAGCAACGAAAAAUAACAACUUUAAUUUUUUUCCAAAUUUGUUUACGAAAAAUAUUUUUAUGUCGAACCAGACAAGCGAAAAAGUAUUUUUUAUACCUAAAAAAUAAUUUUUAGCUUUCAUUUCUGUCUUUUUUUUUGCGUAAAAAAAUAUAAAACUUAUUGAACUGAGAGAGACAGCUAUUAAACUUUUUUGAAAAUUUGAUUUUAUUAUUGAACAUUUUAAUUUAUUUGAUUUUAGUUAGCCAAUGCUACUUUGACUUUAAAAUUUAAAUGUGUUAUUUAUCAUUAUUAAUUAUUCUACUUCACACAAUUCUCGCAACUAUAAAUUUAUAAAAAUAUAAGUAAUUAGCUUAAAUUUUGAAAAUAAAGCAUUGUUGUCCGAUUUAAUCAAAUAAACCGAAAGAUUAGAUAGUAAAAUUAAAAUUUUAAAUAUUUAGAUAGCUGACUCAAAAUGGUCCACAGUUCAGAUAACUUUUGUGUGAUUUUUCUUUUUAUUAUUUUUUUUUAUCCUUUCAAAAUUAUCAAGCAAAAGAGUGGUCCUGAUCAUCCCAAUGAAUUAUAACUUGUAUGUGCUGCAAAACCCCAAUGCUAGUGCAAGUUGUAUUGGGGAUGGUCCUCAUUCUAUUCUACUGUACUCCUUGUGACACAGACAUAUAUAUGGUGUAGGGCACACACAAUGGAACAGUGAGGCAUGCAUUAGCUGUUGGAUAGAUGCUGGAUCAAACCCCUGUUUUUUAUUUUUUAGGAUUAUUUUUCUUUGUGUGUGUGUGUAUGUAUAUAUAUAUAUAGAGAGAGAGAGAGAGAGAGUUUCUAUGCUUAUGAUUUUUUAACUGUCAGAACGUCUCAAGAUCCGUACAAUAUCAGUAAAUAAAACUUAACGAAACAGAUCCUUAAUAGUGCUACACGAAUCUUGAACCGAUCUCACGAUUAAAAAGUUAUGCUCCUGUGCUCUUAAAAGCACAGGAGCUCAAUUCUAUAUAUAUGUAGAGUACACCUUCUAUGCUUUCGAAACGACGGAGGUUUUCAUGCUUUUAAGUUAUUUUUGGUGAUGGAGGUUAUCAUGCUUUUAAGUUAUUUUGGUGAUGGGUUUGCUGCUUCGACGAUCGACUUCCUAAGACAUAAUCUAUACUACUAGAACUAUCUAAAAAUUAAAUUUUAUAAUUUUUUCACAUCAUUUGUUCAGUGAUUAAAGGGUCUUAAAAAUAAUUAUUUUAAUAGCUGAUGUGGCAGUUUGUAAGUUCAGCGGUAUAAGAUAAUUCAAAUUAUGUGAAAUUAUAAUUAAAAACUUUACUUACUAUCAAGAGCAAGAUUAGAAUUUUCGAUUUGAAAUUUAAACCUUUUAUCACUGUUUUUUAUAAGAUUUUAUUUUGAUCGUUCAUUUUGAUGCUACUUAUUUACUAGACAAACGAAAUUAAAAAAUUAUAAAAUUUAGUUUCUAGAUAGUUCCAAUACUGUAGAUCGUGUUUAACAAAGACGAUCGUCAAAUCGAAUAUUCCAUUAUUAAAAACAACAUAGACUGUUGUACUUUCCACACACAAACUCUCUCUCUCUCUCUCUCUCUCUCUCUCUAUAUAUAUAUAUAUAUAGUCGGUUUAUUAUAUUCUUAUAAGUAUGAUCGUCUUCGUACUCAUAAGUCGUUUUCGAUGAUAGAGCUUCCGAAUUGACGAUCCAUACCGUUAAAUAUUAUUUAGAGCAUUUAAAACUUUCAGAAAUCAAAUUUUAUAAUUUUUUGACAUUAUUUAUCUUAUAAUCAAAAGAUCUCAAAAUUAACAACUUUCAACGGUCGGUAUAAAAUACUUGUUAGUUUAACGGUAUAAAAGAAUCGAAUUGGUUGAAUUUUUGAUAGAAAAUUCUAUUUACUAUCUAGAUAGAGACUAAUAACUUCGAUCUUAAAUUGAAGGAUCCGAUCAUUCAUUUUUAGGACGUCGUUCGAUUUCGACCGUUCAUUUUCUGCCCGCUUGAUGGACUUUAUUAUGAUUUUCAAAAAUUACAAAAUUUAUUUUUUAGAAGUUUUAAAAAACUCUAGAUCAUAUUUCACAGAGUGAAUCGCCGAUUCAGAAGCUCCGUCAUCGAAAACAAUUUAUGAGUACAAAGGACUCUAUACUCGUAACAGUAUAGUAUCCCUACUCUAUAUAUAUGUAUACUCAUUUAAGAGUAUAUGUUUUAAAAUAAUAUGGUAAAUGUGUAUUUAUUACCUCAGCUAACUUGCUGAAACAAUAUUGAAUUCUUGAUAGAAACAAGCAAAUUAAAUGGCCAUUAUGUUUUUUCUUUUUUUUCUUUUUUUUAUUCCUAUGGUCGAAACAUUCUUUAUGAAUUGAUAGUUGUUUUUAUUAAUUAGCAUCUAAAAUAUUCUCUUAUUAAUCACUCAAUGAAAAGCAUGUGUUCAUCUCCAAACCUUGGAUUAAUUAAUUGGAGACACAAACAAUAUUAUCUGAAAAAUAUAGUGAGUAGAAACGUACAAAUUAAUCACGUAGAAUAAUACAUUGUAUUUUACAUGUCUCAAAGGAUAAUAUGCAUAUACGUACACAUGUAUUUUAAUUGGUUACAUAGGCAUAUAUGUAUAUAGAUAUAUAUAGAUAUAUAGUUGAAAUAAUGUUGGAUUUAAUUAAUAAGGUUAAAAAUAUGAGUAAUUAUCUCAUUUAAUGAAAGUGGAUGGUAUGCUAUUUAUGUGUUAGUUUGAAAAAGUAAACUUUAAUUUGCUACUAUUUUUACUAGUGUGUAUAUUAUAUUCUUUUUGAAUAAUAGACUUACUAGGGCACACUUUUGGGCUAUAAUGCUAGGGUUCCCUCAUUUUAUGAGGGCUCAUUAAUGCAGGGAUAUCAACGGGUCAGAUUUCGGUGAAUUUUUAAAAAUCCGAACCCGAAUAAGGCUCCAAAUCUGAAACCCGAACUCUAACUCGAACCCGACAGAUUUUAGAAAUCCAUAUCCAAAUCCGAACCGACCAAAAAUUCAAAAACUGAACCUGAAUCCGAACCGAAGGAUUCGAACCGAAACAAUUAUCUCUUUUCAAUGUUUCAAAAUAUAUUAUAUUAAAUUUAUAUUUUUAAAAUACAAAUUCAAAUAUAACAUCAAAUUUUUAUAUACAUAUUAUAUAUAAUGUAAAAUAAAUUCGGGUUCAGAUUUGGAUCGGAUACAGUCAAAAUCCAUAUCCGAAUCCAUAUCCUUCGAAUUUUUGUUUUCGAUAUCCAUAUUCGAAACUAUAUCCGUUUAACAUCGGAUAUAUCUGCUUUAUUUGAGUUCGGAUUCAGAUAAAAUUUCGAAUAUCCCUUCCCAUUAAUUGACAUCCCUACAUUAAUGUCCACCCAACAAAUCCAACAAUUUAUAUAUUAUAGAAAGGGGAAAUUACACUUGGAGUCCCUUAACCUCAAGUUUUAUUUGAUGCUCUACCAAGAGUUGAACCUUUAAUAAGGUUUUAUUUAAUUCUUAUCUUAGUGUUAAAAUUAUUGCUUGCACCAAGUUUGUUUAUAUUUCUGCGCAUUUUGGAUAUAUCAGUUCUUCAUUUAUCUUGUAUUUUUAUUAAGCAGUACAAUUUUUACGUAGAGAAAGAUAUAUUGUAACUAAAUAGGUCGUGGUGUUGAAAUAUAUGAUGCAAAAAAUAAUCGAUAAAUUUAUGGCACGUAGAUGUACAGAUGCACGUUGAAUAUAAUAAUUCACUUUUUAAUAGAAAGUGUAGACAACGAUUGAAGUAGAAGUAGUUUUAAGAACUUAGAGACCACUGAUGUCGAGCUUAAAAGUUUGAAGAUCAAAAUAAAACUCGGGUGACAGUUCGAGAGCUAGUGGCGCAAUUUAUCCUUUUAAAUUUUCUGAGAGAGAAAGACACCAGCUAGAAUUAUGAAGAACUAAGUUUCAAAUUUGGAAUCUCGAAUACCAACCACCAAAUUCUUAGCCAACUACGUUAGGUACAGUCGAUGUAGUUUAACCACCGCAAAAGCUCAUUUCAUGCUUAUCACAAAUGAAAUGGCUUCUUGUGAUUUUCACUCCACAUAUCCUUUUGUUCUCUCCUCACAUGGGUACCCACAUAAAACCAACAUACCCUCAAGAACCAUCCAAAAGACCCUAACCCUAACCCUAACCCUAACCCUAUAAGUAACUCACUUCUCAAUGCCACCACAUCCAAGAGCUAGCUCAAAAAGAAAGGAGGUUUAAAGAGGAUAUAAUUUUGGAACAUGUCAACCUAACAACUUUGUGCAAGGUUGUUAAUUGUUUGUCUUGUCACAAAGAUCCUAUUGUUCUUGGAGUGUGAUGAAAAGGCACCUCAUAUUAUGCUUUAGUGAUCCCCCAUCCACAAAAAGGAAAAUAAGAUUUAAAAAAAAAAAAUGAAACAAGAAAACAAAAACAAAAAGGGGAAAAGAAGAAAAUAAAUGAUGCAUCAAUAGUGAUAGCAACAACCCAUUUGUCAUGCAUAUGCUAGCAUGUGAGGUUGAUUGAACACCCACUAAUCAAGAUUAGAGUUAAGUAAUAAUUAAGAUGAAUUUUGAAUCUAAGACUAUGAUAUAUUUGGUUAAACUCCUGUUUAGUAUUGAGAACUAUCUAUAUCGUUAUUGAAUCCAAAGGUGUUCAUAAAAAAAUAAUAAUAUAAAACUAUGGUUCAGUAUUUUUCGAUAGGAUCGUCGGAAAUUAUUAACAUAACUAAAUUGUUACGAUCUACAUAAGAUAUUAUUUUUACAUAAGCAAACAUAGUGUUUUCUUUCGCACAUUUUAAUCGUAAGUAACAUAUUAUGUGAUUUUUUUUGAUAAAAUGUAAUUUGCUCCUGUGUGGUUUAGCUCAUUUUCUCUUUGCUAUAUUAUGAUUCAAAAAGAUACACUUAACUAUUACGUGAUUUU
rnacentral:lncRNA from 1 species